AUUGUAUAAAUGAAACCUCCCAAUAUCUCUGUGAGCUUGGAAAGCCUUCUACUGACAUGAACGUGUCAGAAAUAAAUACCAGCUGAAUGGUGUUAGACAGGUGAAAAUGCCAAUAAGGGAACUAAUCACCUGUCUGUAAGGAUGAUUUUAAAAGAUGGAGACAUUGCCCAUCAAGAACACCACUGGGAGUCAUCAACUCUGUUCAAACAGGCUGCUGGUAACCAUCAGGAGCACCCUGGAAUAACUCACUGAGGCACACCAAGUAGAGACCUCAAUUACACGCACCAUUGGCACCCCCAGUUCUGCAAGCAGCAGAAGCAGUACUCCUUGGAAACACCAUUAAGCACAAAGCUCAGCUGAGUUUGUCCUGUCAAUUCAUUA